AACUGCGAGAGGACGCCGGGUUCCACGCGGAACUAUUUUUCGCGGAGUUGGUGCCUAGUCGGACCUCGAGUUCGUAAGCAGUGAGAGCGCAGUGGUUUGGAGGAGUCCGAGGUUGCUAUGGAGUCCCCGAAACUUUUGAAAACUGUCGGGGUUCCAGGCGAAGAGCAAGAGCGAAUGGAGGAUUUCUGGAGACAUGUGCUAAGCUUAAGGUGACAAGGGAAAGAGGACGUGGGGCUUUCAAUGGAGCAGGAUUGCACUUUAGAUCCUGGAUGACAGACCUGUAAGGACUGAGCAGACCUUUCACUGACAAGAUGGGAUUCUCAGUGAGAGCAUGGCAUCCUGAAACCAGGAUUUUGUCUUUAAUUCAGGUGGUGUUCCUAUGAGAGCUAAUGCUGUUAGUUAAACUUUUUAAAAAAUCUCUUUUUUUAAGUGACAGGAUUUCCAAAUUGUUGUUUCUGCUUAGUUUUAGUGGGUUUGUAAGGAUGAAAGUUUUAUUCCCUUGGUCUAGUGUGGCAGUAAUAGAUGAAAUAUGAGAACUGGGUCCUACACUGUCCUUGCUUGCCAUCAAGUGCCCUCUCAUUUAAAUAUAGAGAUUUCCUAGGGGCCAUGGACAUCUCCAACAACCUUCUCCCCAGUUAAUUGAGAAAAUGCAAGCCAUCGUGCAACAUAGACCUUACCUUCCUGGCUACCCAUUUCCCUUACCACCACAUUUAUCUGUCUCUCUUAUCUCAGAAGAUGAAAAGUGCCUCCUUCACCUGUGCUAUUGAUCAGCACCUCUUUCUAGACUUCUCCGCUGCAUUUAACACCAUUAAUCAGACUCUUCCUGACCUAACUUCCUUUGUUUCCUCCUGUUUCUUCUGCCUAACUCAUGCUUCUUAGGGGGACUCUCUCUGCCUGCUUUUAAAAUAGUAUAGGUUUCAACGUUGGGUUUUUUGGUUGGUUUUUUUGUUGUGUGAAUCUUUCCCUUCAGAGCACCAUCCACUCAUUGUUUUAAUCUGCUUGCUCAAAGAUCCUAAAACUACUGCUAUCCCUGACUUCUUCCUUGAGAUUCAGAUUUUUAUUUCUUUGCCUACUAGAUAGAUCCUUUUGGGCGGGCUCUUGAGCCAUUCAAAUUCUAAUUUGUCCCUUCCUUUCACUUCUGCUACUGAUCUAUCUCACUGCUGCCUCCAGCCUUACCUCUAUCCCACAGUUUUUCUUCUGAGUAGCUGCCAGGAUGAUCAGUAUUAAAUGUAAAUCUGAUCGUUUCAUCAAUCCCCUUAAAUUUCUAUAUCCCUCUCUCCCUGUCACCUCCAAGAUACAGUCCAAUUCCGUAGCCUGCAUACCAGGACCUCCCUGAUCUUGCCACUGUUUAUGCUUCUACUGUCAUCUCCCAUCACACCCACUUCCCCUUCCUGAGGCUGCUUUACACUUUUUCUUAUUCUUAGUGAUUCUGCAUGGACUGUCUUGAUUUUCUUUGCCUGAUUCUUACUUUGGUGUCUUAUUUUGAGCCAGAUACUGAGCUACAUACUGGAAAUAUAAGUGUGAACAAUCAAAUGUGGUAAAAUUCAAUCUAAUAAUUGACUUGACAGAGCUUGUAUCUUCAUAGGAAAGGAAGAUAGUUUUUUGGUUUUUUUUUUUUCAAAUGUGAUUGUCUGAGUGGCUCCAUGCUGGAAAAUAGCUAGGAAUUGGCCAGAUUAAAGGGUGGAGGGCAAGAUAGAGGUAACAGCUGUGAAGACCCAGACAUGAGGGAAGAGCACAGUUUAGGAACAGAGCUUCUACGCAGAGAGCUAUGGUGGGAAACAGGCACCAGCUCAUGAAGAGUAUUACUAGUCAUGUUAGGGCAUUCGUACUUCUUCCUAAAAGUAAUAGUAAGUUUGAAGGGUUUCAGCAUUAGGUUUGAAUUUUAGGUAAUAAUUCAGGCUCCUGUGAGACAAUGGAACCAAAGAGUGGCAAGAUUAAAGGAAAGAAAACCAGUUAGGACAUCAUUAUAGCAAUCCUUGGGAAAGAAGAUGGCAGCCUAUGCUAGGGCAUUACCAUUGUGGAUGGAAAUAGAUCCCAGAAGAAUUCAGGACUAAUUAACUGAAUUGGGAGGGCAGAGGUGAGAGAAAUAAAGGAUAGGCUUCUAUAAACAAGUUUUAGUGAAAACGCUCUUUGCUCUUUGCUAUCGUAUGUCCACAGGCUAUAUGUCCUUAGACAUUGUAGAUGCUUGAUAAGUAUCUGCUGAGUGAGUUUUCUGGCUUGAGCACCUAGAUAAAUGGGAUGCCAUUCUCUGAUUUAGAAAGUGUGGAGGUGAACUCAUCUUGGGGAGGUGACUGGUGAUUGAAUUUUGAACAUGCCUGUGAGAGAUACACAUGAAAAUGAUAGAUAAAAUGCAAUUGGAAGAGAUCUGAGGUAUAUUCUUUGUAUACUUAAAAAAAUAAAAGUUUAUAUUUUAUCAAAA